GGCCAGUUGGCUCAGCUGGUUAGAGCGUGGUGCUAAUAAAGCCAAGGUUGCGGGUUUGAUACCCGUACUGGCCA